rnacentral:rRNA from 1 species
UCAGAGCCCGUUAAUGGGUGAUGGCGUGCCUUUUGUAGAAUGAACCGGCGAGUUACGAUUUGAUGCAAGGUUAAGCAGUAAAUGUGGAGCCGUAGCGAAAGCGAGUCUGAAUAGGGCGUUUAGUAUUUGGUCGUAGACCCGAAACCAGGUGAUCUACCCUUGGUCAGGUUGAAGUUCAGGUAACACUGAAUGGAGGACCGAACCGACUUACGUUGAAAAGUGAGCGGAUGAACUGAGGGUAGCGGAGAAAUUCCAAUCGAACCUGGAGAUAGCUGGUUCUCUCCGAAAUAGCUUUAGGGCUAGCCUCAAGUGAUGAUUAUUGGAGGUAGAGCACUGUUUGGACGAGGGGCCCCUCUCGGGUUACCGAAUUCAGACAAACUCCGAAUGCCAAUUAAUUUAACUUGGGAGUCAGAACAUGGGUGAUAAGGUCCGUGUUCGAAAGGGAAACAGCCCAGACCACCAGCUAAGGUCCCAAAAUAUAUGUUAAGUGGAAAAGGAUGUGGCGUUGCCCAGACAACUAGGAUGUUGGCUUAGAAGCAGCCAUCAUUUAAAGAGUGCGUAAUAGCUCACUAGUCGAGUGACACUGCGCCGAAAAUGUACCGGGGCUAAACAUAUUACCGAAGCUGUGGAUUGUCCUUUGGACAAUGGUAGGAGAGCGUUCUAAGGGCGUUGAAGCAUGAUCGUAAGGACAUGUGGAGCGCUUAGAAGUGAGAAUGCCGGUGUGAGUAGCGAAAGACGGGUGAGAAUCCCGUCCACCGAUUGACUAAGGUUUCCAGAGGAAGGCUCGUCCGCUCUGGGUUAGUCGGGUCCUAAGCUGAGGCCGACAGGCGUAGGCGAUGGAUAACAGGUUGAUAUUCCUGUACCACCUAUAAUCGUUUUAAUCGAUGGGGGGACGCAGUAGGAUAGGCGAAGCGUGCGAUUGGAUUGCACGUCUAAGCAGUAAGGCUGAGUAUUAGGCAAAUCCGGUACUCGUUAAGGCUGA